rnacentral:snRNA from 1 species
GCACUUGCACAUGGGUUAGUCGA